CCGGCUAACUCCGUGCCAGCGGCCGCGGUAAUACGGAGGGUCCAAGCGUUAUCCGGAUUUAUUGGGUUUAAAGGGUACGUAGGCGGAAUUUUAAGUCAGUAGUGAAAGCCUCUCGCUUAACGGGAGAACUGCUAUUGAAACUGAAGUUCUUGAAUAUAGUUGAAGUAGGCGGAAUACGGCAUGUAGCGGUGAAAAGCAUAGAUAUGCCGUGGAACACCAAUCGCGAAGGCAGCUUACUAAGCUAUUAUUGACGCUAAGGUACGAAAGCGUGGGUAGCGAACAGGAUUAGAUACCCUGGUAGUCCACGCCGUAAACGAUGA
rnacentral:rRNA from 14 species